rfam:Schistosoma mansoni strain Puerto Rico chromosome 3, complete genome
GUCCAGCUGACGAGUCCCAAACAGGACGAAACGCGCGUCCUGGAU